rnacentral:rRNA from 1 species
AUUGAACGCUGGCGGCAUGCCUUACACAUGCAAGUCGAACGGCAGCAUGGAGAGCUUGCUCUCUGAUGGCGAGUGGCGAACGGGUGAGUAAAGCAUCGGAACGUACCGUGUAGUGGGGGAUAACGUAGCGAAAGUUACGCUAAUACCGCAUACGCACUGAGGUGGAAAGCAGGGGAUCGUAAGACCUUGCGCUAUACGAGCGGCCGAUGUCAGAUUAGCUAGUUGGUAGGGUAAAGGCCUACCAAGGCGACGUUCUGUAGCGGGUCUGAGAGGAUGGUCCGCCGCGCGUGGCCUGAGAGCCGGCCCAGCAUCCUACGGGAGGCAGCAGGGGGGAAUUUUGGACAAUGGGGGCAACCCUGAUCCAGCCAUGCCGCGUGAGUGAAGAAGGCCUUCGGGUUGUAAAGCUCUUUCGGCCGGGAAGAAAUCGCACAGGCUAAUACCCUGUGUGGAUGACGGUACCGGCAUAAGAAGCACCGGCUAACUACGUGCCAGCCGCCGCCGUAA